ACGUAGGGGGCUAGCGUUGUCCGGAUUUAUUGGGCGUAAAGAGCGUGUAGGCGGCCAGGUAGGUCUGCUGUGAAAACUCGAGGCUCAACCUCGAGACGUCGGCGGAAACCAUCUGGCUAGAGUCCGGAAGAGGAGAGUGGAAUUCCUGGUGUAGCGGUGAAAUGCGUAGAUAUCAGGAGGAACACCGGUGGUGUAGGCGGCUUGCUGGACCAUAACUGACGCUGAGGCACGAAAGCGUGGGGAGCAAACAGGA
rnacentral:rRNA from 1 species